rnacentral:misc_RNA from 1 species
AACGCACAUUGCGCCCUUUGGCAUUCCGAAGGGCAUGCCUGUUCGAGCGUCAUUAUCCCCCUCAAACCUCGGGGUUUGGUGUUGGGCCCGCGUUGGUUGGCGACGACCAACUGGCCCCAAAGGCAAUGACGGCUCCCACUGGGACCCUUGGUGCAAUGAGCUUCUUUCGAGAGCACGCAUCGAGUGUUCGGACCCGGUGGGCCGGUCUCCCUUAUUACUUUCUAAGGUUGACCUCGGAUCAGGUAGGAAUACCCGCUGAACUUAA